CCUAAAAUAUACCGCAAUGUCUCGGUCGCGAGGGUGACGGCUGGUUUGAUUUGCAUCACGCGUCUAAAAUCGAGCUCUGCAUCGAUUGCAAAUCGUCUCAACGUACCUCGAGUCUCGGGCAAGACAACGGGAUAAUCGUGAUAAAAACACAGGAUGUCGCGAUCAGAUUACAGAAUCCUGUCGGGAGCAUUAUGAGUAUGCGUUUGUCUGGUGAGUCGCGUCUGGUCCACUACGUAUGCACCUAUACGUUGUCUUAUGUAUAUCGCCGACUUGGUCAGCAGCAAGCGACAGAUUUAAUUUUAAUACUACUUUAACAAUCUACCCAGCAAACACGAUGACGUCGUUAUAUUUUGGCGCUGAAACAGCGAGGACGGAAAUUUCAGAUCAUCGGACUUAAAAAUUAAAGAUCUAACAUAGAGCCGAAAUUUCGACGCGCGGGGAAUGUACGGCUAAUCGUUCAAAUGAAACUCGUCCCAAACGAUAAAACCCAGCCAGCACAAAUUUCCAAAAGACGUCUAAAAGGCAUGCUUUUCACAUUUUUCGGACGUUUUCAAGACGUCUUUCAGAAAUUCAUGCUUAUCCGAGACAUUUUUUCGCCAUCAUCAUAGCAUAGUCUCUCGGUUUUCAAUUAGUUGAACCCGUUAAGAGACUCUAUAAUCUGGAUCGCAGAAGUGACCUUCCGCAGGUGCUCAAAAGGAGAUAAAUACCCAGAUCGAGUACGGCACGCGUAUACGCUAAUGUUUGAGUGAUAUUGACACAGGUGUUGACAGGUGUCGAAACGAAGAUCUAAAAUGUAUCCAGUGUUGUUGAACAUAUGUUUAUUUCGUGUCUCUAUAAAACAGACAUAGUUUCAACAUGGGUGAGUUUCGAGCAAGGUCUGUCAAGAGCCGAGUUACUCUUUGGGAAAGAUAUAUUCGAGCAUCGUUCGACUUGGAGUAUCUGGUAAAUAAAAACCAUUCCUUUUUUUCAUCACCACCACACUCUCUGUCAUGUGUUCUUUAGAUAACAUUUAGAUAACAAGACGAUUGUCUCGCAUUUUUAUUUUAUAACUGCAACUUGUUUUGCCGAACAAGUCCGGCAAGACGAAAGAUACGAAUAUAUACCUCUGAGCGGCUUGUUUAUUAAAUAUAUACUUGUUAGGUGUCAUUUCUGUCUGGCAUUCCUAUCUCGAUAUCGCUGCGACAUACAUUGAAUUUUAUAUUCGCUAUCGCCGCAAAGUCCUCCGAAUUUUUACAACGUUAUCUCGUCGAUAUAAAAUCACGUUAUGUUGCACUGUCGACAUAUUUUAGAAAGAAAAUUUUCUAGCAUAAACUGUUGUAAAUUAAAUUUUUGAGUUCAAACUCAUAGGCGUGUCGAAUUAUUCAAAAGAAAAGUGCGUAAAAUAUUGGACGACAGGAACAGCUUAUGAUUACACGUCUCCGAUUUACCCCAUUUGCUCGAUUGAGAGUUCGCAUCGCGGCGCAGAUGUUCGCAUUAUGACGAGCAAAAGUGCCUGAAUCUUAUUACUCACAUUUCGGCAUAGCGUCAGGCAUCUAGCGACCUGCAGAGCUUCUUGAAAAAUGAACCCAUGAACGGUAAUCACAUAAAAAAAUAGCGCGAAUAUGAACAACAUCCUGUCAAUUCUGUCCGCGAUUAUGUGGCUGAGUGCGAGGUAUUUGGAACGGUGAUCGUAACACAUAUUACUUCUUCAUUUCUAACUCACUCAUGAUUUCCCUCGCGUCCGGCCGACUGUUGACUUGAAACUGUAAAACGAGUUAUUCGAGUCGAAUAUCAACAACCUAUUUAUUUAAAAUCGUGCAAACGAUAUUCAACCGGAGAUAACAAAUACGCUCGGUGAUAAGCACGGUGAUAAGCACGUGAAACUAGUUUUUGCAAUGUUAUUUUAAGCUUUUGUUUUACGAUGACACGAAUAUAUUGUUUCGUAUGUGGUGACGUAUUUAAAAAUACAGAUUAAUUUCUUUUAAAUGUGCGCGUCCGGUCGCAAAACCGCGACACGUGUUCGGCACGUACUCAAAACGGCACUCGCACGAUCAUUAACGCAAAAUUAAAGUACUCGCAAAGCUUACGUACGUGACGCAAAUGAAUCCACAUUUGAAGAAGCUCGAGUGCUGUUUCAACGCGUAUUACGACAGCCCCCUACCACAUACAGCUACACCUUAUAUGUUAAUAAAAGGUGGGAUUUGCUCCCACUUUUCUCUCCUCUUCGCAUUCUCCAGCAUUUCGUGGGGAAACAAAAGCAGCAUUCGACGUGAUUGUAUAAUGUGUUUAAUUAUAAUUAAUGUAUCAAUCUCAUAAUUUGAGAAUUAUUUCCAAGCAAAUAUUUGCAGCUUCUGCAUCAAGCGUGAAAUACUUGAAACACUCUUGAGCUCUGCAAGAACUUACAAACCGUACUUCGGUCACCUUUAGAUAUUCAAUCUGCAAUAUGGUAAUCUGGUGACGUGAGAAAUGGAUUGAUAUUUCAAGCUUGUACUAAGGCAUCAAUUAAAACUGAUUGAUGAGUUUACCCUAGCUAUUUACAAGACUUCACAUAUAUAUAUAUAUAUAUAUAUAAUAUGAGAGUUUAUAUAUAUAAAUGAUUGUAUUCUUAUUCUAAAACAUAAACAUUACAGUUUACUUCUAUCGACCGUUUCUUUAUCCAAUCACAUACCUUAAAAAUAAAAUGUACGUCAACAAUAAAACGCAAUGUUUUAAACCAUGAUAUAAAGUUUAUUUUCUAGAAACUCUUUACGCAACAUGGGAAAAAGAUUGAAUGCUUCUUACUUAUUGUGCCACAUAUGAAUGAGGUAUUCUGAUAUCUGCAACUGCAAAGUGACACAUUUACUGGACUGUGUGAUCAUCAAUGUAGGAGGAAUAUAGUAUGUCAUUAUCUCAAUCCAAUAACGAAGAUAGUGUUAAAUAAAUUUCGAGUGACAAUUUUCCAUUCCUCAUUUCGAAUAAUUUGCAUUUAUAUAAUGGAAGAGGAACAC